GCAGUACCAGUCAGAAUUCUCCAUGAGUGCUGUGACCUCCACCCACUCGGGCACCUACAGGUGCUAUGGUUCUCUCGACUCAGCUCUCUACCUGUUGUCAUUUGCCAGUGCCCCUGUGGAGCUCAUAGUCUCAGGUAAGGUUGUUCUGACAUCUCAGAGUGACUUAAAUACAAAACAUAGAUCUUUUGACUUCAGGGGUAUUAAGAGGACAACAUGAAUGGUUAGUCCAAAGGCACAUUCAACAGCAUAGAACUGGAUGUCAGCAAUAAUCCUUCAUGUAAUAGUCCCUCUGUCUUAGGCCACUUACAGGACAUAAGUAGCACACACAGCAGGAAGAAUAUCCUCUUCUUGUUCUGUCUCCAAGAUGCGUUGAAGCCUCCAGCUGGCCAACUAAAAGGUUCAUCACAACAGCCUGUAAGUAUUAGGCACCACAUUAUAGGGAAUAUGCGGCAAACACAGGCAGCCUACGAAAUAGCUCUUGUUAAUCACAGUUCUCACUUCUGUCACUUGAAUUCAUGAGUAUGAAAGACCAACAAAUAUUCCAAAGGACAAUCCAUAUGCUAAGGCUUAACUGUUGAACUACAAAUGAUAGCAUCCAAAGAGACACAGUUAGCCUCUCCCUGGAUGAUGGGGCAAGUGUGUAAACUUAUGAGGAAAUAACCUAGAAAUUCGCCUCUCCAUGAUUGCCUGAAGAAACAUUACACCUGCACAGAGUCAGGCCCAAGA
rnacentral:lncRNA from 1 species